rnacentral:rRNA from 1 species
UACGUAGGGUGCGAGCGUUGUCCGGAAUUAUUGGGCGUAAAGAGCUUGUAGGCGGUUGUCGCGUCUGCUGUGAAAUCCGGGCUCAACCCGGACUUGCAGUGGUACGGGCAGCUAGAGGUAGGUAGGGAGAAUGGAAUUCCCGGUGUAGCGGUGAAAUGCGCAGAUAUCGGAGGAACACCGGUGCGAAGGCGGUUCUCUGGGCCUGUACUGACGCUCAUGCACGAAAGCGUGGGAGCAACAGG